AACAAAUGAAAAAAAUCUAUAUGAGUUGAGUUUUGGAACGGAGUUAGUACCACUAUGUCACAGGCAAGGAACACGGAAAAAAAAACAGUGAAAACAGGUGUUCCGUUGAGGAUAAGAUGGCGGUUCAGCCUGCCAGCCCGAUGCAACCCAAACCAUCUGCGAUGAUGUUAUGCUAUGAUAAAGGGAGCACGCAACAGGAAAAAAAAGUGAAGAGGUCUUUCGUUGAGGAUGAGAUGCCGAUCCAGCCUGACAGCCUGCUGCUUGGAGAAUGGAGGGACAUCUGCGAUGAUGUUAUAUGAUGAAGGGAGCCCCUCAAAGGGGGAAAGGAACAUGGACAAGACUCCCCGUUACUAUCCUUUUUGAAGGAACUCCUGUUAUCGAUUUGAGUACUCCGUCAAUUUCAGACAAUGAGUGCACCAUAACAAGGACCAGCAAAUCCUUCUUCUGUUAAGGGCCCUAAGAAGUCCUUGUGACUGGAAGCUCAGUGGCUGAAAUGCUGAUGAAGAAAUAUGGAGAAAAACAAAGGGCAUCGUCAUUGGCAUCUUGGGUUGCUCCAUUUCGCAGACAAGGGGAUCGCCGCAAAAUAAGACUCACGUACCCAAUAUACCAUCGACUAUGAACCUGGGACGGUACUAGAAUUCAGGGAAGCUGACAGUGUAACUGUAGAUUGUAAGCUGACGUUGUAAGCUAUGUACAAUAUGUAUCUUACUGACGUCUACUGUCUGAAUUAUAAAGUGGAGUACUCCGUACUAUGUAUAAUAGUCUAAUACUGGUAGAUAUGUAUCCAGGACUU